AGAGAGACGGGAUCUGCAUGCACAGUAGGGUAAUGAGAGGAGAAGAGUUGAAGGCUGAAGACUUGGAAAUUCAAUUAUGUGGUCCAAGACAGUCUGGAAAAUUAAAUAUCAUCUGUCAGUGUGUUAAGCCAUAAUAUUGAGGAGGUACGGUUCUGUCAGCUGAGGCUCCUCAUGGUCCAACUUCAUCAGCUCCGUCGCAGCGUUGGCCAGGGUCACAGCCAGCCAAGCACAGGUACGGCAUUGCUGACAAAACAGAGAUUAUCAGUUGGCUGCUUGAGGAUGUUGGGAGAGGCUUGCGGAGGGUGGAGCUGCACCUGGCAGAGCUCCAGAAAGCUGAGUAAUCA